rnacentral:rRNA from 1 species
UACGUAGGGGGCAAGCGUUGUCCGGAAUCAUUGGGCGUAAAGCGCGUGUAGGCGGCCAGGUAAGUCCGUUCUGAAAGUCCAGGGCUCAACCCUGGGAUGCGGGUGGAUACUGCCGGGCUCGAGUCCGGAAGAGGCGAGUGGAAUUCCCGGUGUAGCGGUGAAAUGCGCAGAUAUCUGGAGGAACACCGGUGGCGAAGGCGGCAUCCUGGACCGGUAUUGACGCGUGAGGCGCGAAAGCCAGGGGAGCAA